AGGCUUUCUGUUUGUAUUAUGUUUCUUCAAAAAUGUAAGACGAACAAAAAGUUUGU
ensembl:miRNA dre-mir-736 microRNA 208a